CUUGCUGGUUCUCAGCGUCUGUCAAUGUUCUCCAUUCCUGGACUCCAAAUGGAAAGAAGCUUAAGAUGGCUAAAUUUUCCAGAAAGGUUGAAAUCUUUGUAUUUCUUUGUGAUUUCUAUUAUCACAAGAAGAAUCAGCAUAGGGAGCCCAUCUAGGAUUUCAUGGCUAAAGGACAUUCCAGGAGGAAUAAAUGCCCUCUAUUAAUGUUAGUCAGCGCCUUCCUUUGGAAUAUAGCCUAAUGGUACAGUUCAACAAACUACAGCCAGCUGGAAACACACCACCUGCAGCCCGUUUUUAUACAGCUCUGAGAAAAGUGACAUUGAAAUAUGGAUAGAAGAGAACAGAAGGAAGGCCAGAAGGAGUCACAAACAAGCAAGACCACUUUGAAAGUAACAUAAUGAAUUUAUUAUAUACUCAAAAAGAAAAGAAUAAUGAACUGGAGGAAUUCUAUGUGAACUGGAACGACUUCCAGGAAGUAAUGCAGAGUGAAAGGAGCAGAACCAGGAGAACAUUGUAAACAGAGACUGAUACAUUGUGGCACAAUCAAAUGUAAUGGACUUCUCUACUAGCAGCGAGGCAGUGAUCCAGGACAAUUCAGAGGGAUUUAUGAGAAAGAACAUUAUCCAUAUCCAAACGAAGAAUGGUGGGAACAGAAACACAGAAGAAAAAAAAACUGCUUGAUGACAUAGGUCAAUGGGGAUAUGACUGGGGAUGUAGAUUCUAAAUGAUUGCCCUAGUACAAAUAUCAAUAAUACGGAAAUAAAGCUUGAUCAAUGACAUAUGUAAAA